rnacentral:tRNA from 1 species
GCCUCGGUAGCUCAGCCUGGUAGAGCGGCGGUCUCGUAAACCGCAGGCCCCGGGUUCAAAGCCCGGCCGAGGCU